GACCUUGUAGCUCAGUUGGUAGAGCAUUGGACUAGCAAACCGGGAAGGUUGUGGAUUUGUAAUAGCACCAGGGUAA